AGUGAACGCUGGCGGUAGGCCUAACACAUGCAAGUCGAACGGCAGCACAGUAAGAGCUUGCUCUUACGGGUAGCGAGUGGCGGACGGGUGAGGAAUACAUCGGAAUCUACUUUUUCGUGGGGGAUAACGUAGGGAAACUUACGCUAAUACCGCAUACGACCUACGGGUGAAAGCAGGGGAUCUUCGGACCUUGCGCGAUUGAAUGAGCCGAUGUCGGAUUAGCUAGUUGGCGGGGUAAAGGCCCACCAAGGCGACGAUCCGUAGCUGGUCUGAGAGGAUGAUCAGCCACACUGGAACUGGGACACGGUCCAGACUCCUACGGGAGGCAGCAGUGGGGAAUAUUGGACAAUGGGCGCAAGCCUGAUCCAGCCAUACCGCGUGGGUGAAGAAGGCCUUCGGGUUGUAAAGCCCUUUUGUUGGGAAAGAAAAGCAGCAGGUUAAUACCCCGCUGUUCUGACGGUACCCAAAGAAUAAGCACCGGCUAACUUCGU
rnacentral:rRNA from 1 species